AGGAAACAUUUCAUUGGGGAAGAAGAACACAAGCAAAAUCCUAACCCUCACUUUAAUUUCAAACCCAUGUAACUUUUGAUCCGGAGCUCCGAUUGACGAAUCGUUUGCGACCACGCGUUCACCGCGAUGAGCUCUAUGAAACUCAUUAAACAAUUUGGCUCAAGUUAACUUCCGGAACUUGUGGGCUCAAGUUAUUGAGUAUAUGGGUAUGGUUAAGUGGGUGUUUAUGCAUUGGAUUUGAAUUGGGAUUACUUGGAGGUUCGUUGGUGACCAAGACUUGUUUUGGGGCUAUUUGAUUGAGCUUGAAGGGGCUGUAAUUGUGUGUUGUGAGGCUGCCUUGGUGAAUUAAGUGAUCGGCCAAGGUCGAGAGGCUCCUCGCUAGGCGUCUGGAUACUGGAAAGUGAAGUAGUCCUUGGGUUUAUUUUGGCUUCUGGCUAUAUAUAUAUGUAUAUAUAUGUUUAGCUUACUCUCCAAGUAACUUAUGUAUGCUGCUCCUCUUAGAGGUUGAGGAAGAGAUAGGAGUUAUUUUGAUAUUAUAGUGUAUUUUGGGAUAUUUUGAGAACACUUAUGUAUGUUUAUAUGUAUA